CAGCAGCCGCGGUAAUACGUAGGGUGCGAGCGUUAAUCGGAAUUACUGGGCGUAAAGCGUGCGCAGGCGGUUGUGUAAGACAGGUGUGAAAUCCCCGGGCUUAACCUGGGAACUGCGCUUGUGACUGCACAGCUAGAGUAUGGCAGAGGGGGGUGGAAUUCCACGUGUAGCAGUGAAAUGCGUAGAGAUGUGGAGGAACACCGAUGGCGAAGGCAGCCCCCUGGGCCAAUACUGACGCUCAUGCACGAAAGCGUGGGGAUCAAACAGGAUUAGAUACCCGAGUAGUCCCUGUCUCUUAUAC
rnacentral:rRNA from 1 species